rnacentral:piRNA from 1 species
UAAAAAUCAGAAAUUGGAGUU